UUAAAAUCAUGACUAGAAUAUGAAGCUAGUGGGAUGAAAGAGAAUGGAAUUUUCUCUUUUCCUUUCUAAAUUCGGUAAAGAAACAAGCAAAGGAGAAAAGGGUUUUGGUUAUUUGGAUCCAAAAUUAACAAUCCAGCCAAAGGCGACGCUGGAACGUCAAAGGCGAAGGAAAAGGAAAAGACGGACGUCGUAUAGCUUUAGUGGUGUAUGCUUCUAUAAUUCAAUUUUAAUUUGCUUUCACAGAUUAAUUAGUCGUUAUAAUCAAUAUGACAAUGCAUCGAGGUAAUGGUAUCUUUCCCUUAUAAACUUCGAAUGAUAGACUCGACUGGUGAUAUUGAAAUAAAUGAUAAAUUGUUUGAGACUAUUUUGGA